GAUGAAGAACGUAGCGAAAUGCGAUAAGUAAUGUGAAUUGCAGAAUUCAGUGAAUCAUAGAAUCUUUGAACGCACAUUGCGCCCGCCAGUAUUCUGGCGGGCAUGCCUGUUCGAGCGUCAUUACAACCCUCAGGCCCCCGGGCCUGGCGUUGGGGAUCGGCGGAAGCCCCCUGCGGGCACAACGCCGUCCCCCAAAUACAGUGGCGGUCCCGCCGCAGCUUCCAUUGCGUAGUAGCUAACACCUCGCAACUGGAGAGCGGCGCGGCCACGCCGUAAAACACCCAACUUCUGAAUGUUGACCUCGAAUCAGGUAGGAAUACCCGCUGAACUUAAGCAUAUCAAUAAGCGGAGGA
rnacentral:misc_RNA from 1 species